UACGGGGGGGGCAAGCGUUGUUCGGAAUUACUGGGCGUAAAGGGCGCGUAGGCGGCCUUCUAAGUCAGACGUGAAAUCCCUCGGCUCAACCGAGGAACUGCGUCUGAUACUGGAAGGCUUGAAUCCGGGAGAGGGAUGUGGAAUUCCAGGUGUAGCGGUGAAAUGCGUAGAUAUCUGGAGGAACACCGGUGGCGAAGGCGGCAUCCUGGACCAACACUGACGCUGAGGAGCGAAAGCCAGGGGAGCAAACGGG
rnacentral:rRNA from 1 species